rnacentral:tRNA from 1 species
UCCCGCGUAACUCAGUUGGUCAAGAAUCUGCCUGCAAUGCAGGAGACCCAGGUUCGAUCCCUGGGGUGGAAA